rnacentral:rRNA from 1 species
GAUGAACGCUGGCGGCGUGCUUAACACAUGCAAGUCGAACGGGAAACCUUUUAUUGAAGCUUCUGCAGAUUUCGCUGGUUUCUAGUGGCGGACGGGUGAGUAACGCGUGGGUAACCUGCCUUAUACAGGGGGAUAACAGUCAGAAAUGGCUGCUAAUACCGCAUAAGCGCACCGAGCUGCAUGGCUCAGUGUGAAAAACUCCGGUGGUAUAAGAUGGACCCGCGUUGGAUUAGCUGGUGGGUGGGGUAACGGCCCACCAAGGCGACGUUCCAUAGCCGGCCUGAGAGGGUGAACGGCAACAUUGGGACUGAGACACGGCCCAGACUCCUACGGGAGGCAGCAGUGGGGAAUAUUGCACAAUGGGGGAAACCCUGAUGCAGCGACGCCGCGUGAAGGAAGAAGUAUCUCGGUAUGUAAACUUCUAUCAGCAGGGAAGAUAAUGACGGUACCUGACUAAGAAGCCCCGGCUAACUACGUG